GAGUUUGAUCCUGGCUCAGAACGAACGCUGGCGGCGCGUCUUAAGCAUGCAAGUCGAACGGUAAGGGAGAGCUUGCUCUCCCCUAGAGUGGCGGACUGGUGAGUAACGCGUGGGUGACCUGCCCUGAAGAUGGGGAUAGCUAGUAGAAAUAUUAGAUAAUACCGAAUGUGCUCAUUUACAUAAAGGUAAAUGAGGAAAGGAGCUACGGCUCCGCUUCAGGAUGGGCCCGCGUCCCAUUAGCUAGUUGGUGAGGUAAAGGCCCACCAAGGCAACGAUGGGUAUCCGGCCUGAGAGGGUGAACGGACACAUUGGGACUGUGAUACGGCCCAAACUCCUACGGGAGGCAGCAGCUAAGAAUCUUCCGCAAUGGACGAAAGUCUGACGGAGCGACGCCGUGUGAAUGAAGAAGGCCGAAAGGUUGUAAAAUUCUUUUGCAGAUGAAGAAUAACCACAGGAGGGAAUGCCCUGUGAGAUGA
rnacentral:rRNA from 1 species